rnacentral:rRNA from 1 species
GGGUUGUGAGGUUAAGCGACUAAGCGUACACGGUGGAUGCCCUGGCAGUCAGAGGCGAUGAAGGACGUGCUAAUCUGCGAAAAGCGUCGGUAAGGUGAUAUGAACCGUUAUAACCGGCGAUGUCCGAAUGGGGAAACCCAGUGUGAUUCGUCACACUAUCGUUAACUGAAUACAUAGGUUAACGAGGCGAACCGGGGGAACUGAAACAUCUAAGUACCCCGAGGAAAAGAAAUCAACCGAGAUUCCCCCAGUAGCGGCGAGCGAACGGGGAGCAGCCCAGAGUCUGAAUCAGCUUGUGUGUUAGUGGAACGGUCUGGAAAGUCCGACGGUACAGGGUGAUAGUCCCGUACACCAAAAUGCACAGGCUGUGAACUCGAAGAGUAGGGCGGGACACGUGGUAUCCUGUCUGAAUAUGGGGGGACCAUCCUCCAAGGCUAAAUACUCCUGACUGACCGAUAGUGAACCAGUACCGUGAGGGAAAGGCGAAAAGAACCCCGGCGAGGGGAGUGAAAAAGAACCUGAAACCGUGUACGUACAAGCAGUGGGAGCACCUUCGGGUGUGACUGCGUACCUUUUGUAUAAUGGGUCAGCGACUUAUAUUCUGUAGCAAGGUUAACCGUAUAGGGGAGCCGCAGGGAAACCGAGUCUUAACUGGGCGUUAAGUUGCAGGGUAUAGACCCGAAACCCGGUGAUCUAGCCAUGGGCAGGUUGAAGGUUGGGUAACACUAACUGGAGGACCGAACCGACUAAUGUUGAAAAAUUAGCGGAUGACUUGUGGCUGGGGGUGAAAGGCCAAUCAAACCGGGAGAUAGCUGGUUCUCCCCGAAAGCUAUUUAGGUAGCGCCUCGUGAACUCAUCUUCGGGGUAGAGCACUGUUUCGGCUAGGGGGUCAUCCCGACUUACCAACCCGAUGCAAACUACGAAUACCGAAGAAUGUUAUCACGGGAGACACACGGCGGGUGCUAACGUCCGUCGUGAAGAGGGAAACAACCCAGACCGCCAGCUAAGGUCCCAAAGUCAUGGUUAAGUGGGAAACGAUGUGGGAAGGCACAGACAGCCAGGAUGUUGGCUUAGAAGCAGCCAUCAUUUAAAGAAAGCGUAAUAGCUCACUGGUCGAGUCGGCCUGCGCGGAAGAUGUAACGGGGCUAAACCAUGCACCGAAGCUGCGGCAGCGACACUAUGUGUUGUUGGGUAGGGGAGCGUUCUGUAAGCCUGCGAAGGUGUGCUGUGAGGCAUGCUGGAGGUAUCAGAAGUGCGAAUGCUGACAUAAGUAACGAUAAAGCGGGUGAAAAGCCCGCUCGCCGGAAGACCAAGGGUUCCUGUCCAACGUUAAUCGGGGCAGGGUGAGUCGACCCCUAAGGCGAGGCCGAAAGGCGUAGUCGAUGGGAAACAGGUUAAUAUUCCUGUACUUGGUGUUACUGCGAAGGGGGGACGGAGAAGGCUAUGUUAGCCGGGCGACGGUUGUCCCGGUUUAAGCAUGUAGGCUGGUUAUCCAGGCAAAUCCGGAUAACCAAGGCUGAGGUGUGAUGACGAGGCACUACGGUGCUGAAGUAACAAAUGCCCUGCUUCCAGGAAAAGCCUCUAAGCAUCAGGUAACAUCAAAUCGUACCCCAAACCGACACAGGUGGUCAGGUAGAGAAUACCAAGGCGCUUGAGAGAACUCGGGUGAAGGAACUAGGCAAAAUGGUGCCGUAACUUCGGGAGAAGGCACGCUGGUGUGUAGGUGAAGUCCCUGCGGAUGGAGCUGAGACCAGUCGAAGAUACCAGCUGGCUGCAACUGUUUAUUAAAAACACAGCACUGUGCAAACACGAAAGUGGACGUAUACGGUGUGACGCCUGCCCGGUGCCGGAAGGUUAAUUGAUGGGGUUAUCCGUAAGGAGAAGCUCUUGAUCGAAGCCCCGGUAAACGGCGGCCGUAACUAUAACGGUCCUAAGGUAGCGAAAUUCCUUGUCGGGUAAGUUCCGACCUGCACGAAUGGCGUAAUGAUGGCCAGGCUGUCUCCACCCGAGACUCAGUGAAAUUGAACUCGCUGUGAAGAUGCAGUGUACCCGCGGCAAGACGGAAAGACCCCGUGAACCUUUACUAUAGCUUGACACUGAACAUUGAGCCUUGAUGUGUAGGAUAGGUGGGAGGCUUUGAAGCGUGGACGCCAGUCUGCGUGGAGCCAACCUUGAAAUACCACCCUUUAAUGUUUGAUGUUCUAACGUUGGCCCCUGACCGGGGUUGCGGACAGUGUCUGGUGGGUAGUUUGACUGGGCGGUCUCCUCCCAAAGCGUAACGGAGGAGCACGAAGGUUAGCUAAUCCUGGUCGGACAUCAGGAGGUUAGUGCAAUGGCAUAAGCUAGCUUGACUGCGAGCGUGACGGCGCGAGCAGCGUGCGAAAGCAGGUCAUAGUGAUCCGGUGGUUCUGAAUGGAAGGGCCAUCGCUCAACGGAUAAAAGGUACUCCGGGGAUAACAGGCUGAUACCGCCCAAGAGUUCAUAUCGACGGCGGUGUUUGGCACCUCGAUGUCGGCUCAUCACAUCCUGGGGCUGAAGUAGGUCCCAAGGGUAUGGCUGUUCGCCAUUUAAAGUGGUACGCGAGCUGGGUUUAGAACGUCGUGAGACAGUUCGGUCCCUAUCUGCCGUGGGCGCUGGAGAAUUGAGGGGGGCUGCUCCUAGUACGAGAGGACCGGAGUGGACGCAUCACUGGUGUUCGGGUUGUCAUGCCAAUGGCACUGCCCGGUAGCUAAAUGCGGAAGAGAUAAGUGCUGAAAGCAUCUAAGCACGAAACUUGCCCCGAGAUGAGUUCUCCCUGAGACUUUAAGUCUCCUGAAGGAACGUUAAAGACGAUGACGUGAUAGGCCGGGUGUGUAAGCGCAGCGAUGCGUUGAGCUAACCGGUACUAAUGAACCGUGAGGCUUAACCUUACAACGCCGAAGAUGUUUGG